UACAGAGGGUGCGAGCGUUGUUCGGAAUUAUUGGGCGUAAAGCGCUGGUAGGCGGCUUGUCAAGUCGCGUGUGAAAGCUCAAGGCUUAACCUUGAAAGUGCGCGCGAAACUGGCGAGCUUGAGUGUCGGAGAGGGUCGCGGAAUUCCCGGUGUAGAGGUGAAAUGCGUAGAGAUCCGGAGGAACACCAAAGGCGAAGGCAGUGUCCUGGGGAGUACCUGACGCUCAGGUGCGAAAGCCAGGGGAGCGAACGGG
rnacentral:rRNA from 1 species